rnacentral:rRNA from 1 species
CACGUAGGGCGCGAGCGUUGUCCGGAAUUAUUGGGCGUAAAGAGCUCGUAGGCGGCCUGUUGCGUCCGCUGUGAAAGCCCGGGGCUUAACCCCGGGUCGGCAGUGGAUACGGGCAGGCUAGAGGUAGGUAGGGGAGAAUGGAAUUCCCGGUGUAGCGGUGAAAUGCGCAGAUAUCGGGAGGAACACCGGUGGCGAAGGCGGUUCUCUGGGCCUUACCUGACGCUGAGGAGCGAAAGCCAGGGGAGCGAACGGG